CCUACGGGGGGCAGCAGUAGGGAAUCUUUCACAAUGGGCGAAAGCCUGAUGGAGCAACGCCGCGUGCAGGAUGAAGGCCUUCGGGUUGUAAACUGCUUUUAUAAGCGAGAAAUAUGAUGGUAACUUAUGAAUAAGGAUCGGCUAACUACGUGCCAGCAGCCGCGGUCAUACGUAGGAUCCGAGCAUUAUCCGGAGUGACUGGGUGUAAAGAGUUGCGUAGGUGGCAUAAUAAGUAGCUAGUGAAAUCUGGUGGCUCAACCAUUCAGACUAUUAGCUAAACUGUUAAGCUCGAGACCGUGAGGGGUAACUGGAAUUUCUAGUGUAGGAGUGAAAUCCGUAGAUAUUAGAAGGAACACCAAUAGCGUAGGCAGGUUGCUGGGACGGUUCUGACACUAAGGCACGAAAGCGUAGGGAGCAAACGGGAUUAGAUACCCGAGUAGUC
rnacentral:rRNA from 1 species